GUUUUGUUUUGUUUUGUUUUUGGAGAGUGGAUCGUAAGGAAGAGAGAUUGUUCAUAGAAUUUAUUUCAAAGCAAUAAUUAAUUUGUGCCAAACAUUUGUUUGUUUUGUGCCAAAACAUUUCAGAGAAAAUUUUAUUUUAACAAGAAUUGUUUUUUUAGGAUCUGCCAUAAUAAUUGCCUCUCCAGUCCAGCCUGUACUCCAAGGAAUGGUAGGGAUGAUCCCAGUAUCUGUGGUUGGACAGAAUGGAAAUAACUUUUCUACUCCUCCUCGGCAGGUAAGAUUUAUGAACUGAAAAUGGUGCGGUGAUGCUUUUCAAGCUUAGUGUAAUUAAUGGCUUUUUCUCUUCCAGGUUCUUCAUAUGCCUUUGACAGCACCUGUAUGCAAUAGAAGUAUCCCUCAAUUCCCCGUCCCUCCAAAAUCUCAGAAGGCUCAGGGACUAAGAAACAAGCCUUGUAUAGGAAAACAAGUAAAUAAUUUGGUGGAUUCGUCAGGUCAUUCAGUUGGAUGUCAUGCACAAAAAACUGAAGUUUCUGACAAAAGUAUUGCCACAGAUCUUGGGAAAAAAUCAGAAGAAACCACAGUUCCCUUCCCAGAAGAGAGUAUAGUUCCAGCUGCUAAACCAUGCCACAGACGUGUACUCUGUUUCGACAGCACUACUGCUCCUGUGGCAAAUACGCAGGGGCCAAACCAUAAGAUGGUGUCCCAAAACAAAGAAAGGAAUGCAGUCUCUUUUCCUAAUCUUGACUCACCCAAUGUGUCCUCCACCUUAAAACCCCCUUCUAAUAAUGCUAUCAAAAGAGAGAAAGAGAAGCCUCCUCUGCCUAAGAUUUUAUCUAAAUCGGAAAGUGCCAUUAGCCGGCAUACCACCGUAAGAGAAACUCAAUCAGAAAAGAAAGUUUCACCAACAGAAAUUGUGCUUGAAUCUUUCCAUAAAGCAACGGCUAAUAAGGAGAAUGAAUUAUGCAGCGAUGUAGAAAGGCAGAAAAAUCCAGAAAAUUCAAAACUAUCUAUUGGGCAGCAAAAUGGGGGUUUGCGAAGUGAGAAAUCUAUAGCUUCACUGCAAGAAAUGACCAAAAAACAAGGCACAUCUUCAAACAAUAAAAAUGUCCUUUCAGUAGGUACAGCUGUGAAGGAUCUAAAACAAGAGCAAACUAAAUCCGCCAGUUCUUUGAUUACCACAGAAAUGUUACAGGAUAUACAGAGGCACAGCUCAGUAAGUAGGCUUGCUGAUAGUAGUGAUUUACCUGUGCCCCGGACACCUGGCUCAGGGGCAGGGGAAAAACAUAAAGAAGAACCUAUAGAUAUUAUCAAGGCCCCCUCUAGUAGGCGUUUCAGUGAAGACAGUAGUACAUCAAAAGUAAUGGUCCCUCCUGUCACCCCAGACUUGCCUGCCUGCAGCCCUGCCAGUGAAACAGGCAGUGAAAACAGUGUAAAUAUGGCUGCCCACACAUUAAUGAUUCUCUCCAGGGCAGCCAUUUCUAGGACUACUUCAGCAACUCCUCUGAAAGAUAACACACAACAGUUUAGAGCAUCUUCAAGGAGCACCACAAAAAAGCGGAAAAUUGAGGAAUUAGAUGAACGUGAGCGAAACUCUCGUCCUUCUAGUAAAAAUCUUACAAAUUCAUCAAUACCAAUGAAAAAGAAGAAAAUUAAGAAAAAGAAGCUUCCCAGUUCAUUUCCAGCAGGAAUGGAUGUAGACAAAUUUUUGUUAUCAUUGCAUUAUGAUGAGUAAACAUUCUGGACACAUAAGAACAGUAGGUGUUAAAAACUCAUAUCCCUUAAACUGAGUGUAGGGAAUGGGAUAUUGACAGAAUCUGAAAGCAUGACCUGCACUUUCAUUGUACUGAAACUUCACUUUAUAUCUAAAUCAUGCUGUUUCUG
rnacentral:sRNA from 1 species